rnacentral:rRNA from 1 species
GAAGGUCACGGCGAGACGAGCCGUUUAUCAUUACGAUAGGUGUCAAGUGGAAGUGCAGUGAUGUAUGCAGCUGUGUAUAAGAGACAGGAGGCAUCCUAACAGACCAAUAGACUUGAAC